GGUAGGGGAGCGUUCUGUAAGCCGAUGAAGGUGUAUUGAGAAGUAUGCUGGAGGUAUCAGAAGUGCGAAUGCUGACGUGAGUAACGACAAAACGGGUGAAAAACCCGUUCGCCGAAAGACCAAGGGUUCCAGUCCAACGUUAAUCGGGGCUGGGUGAGUCGACCCCUAAGGCGAGGCCGAAAGGCGUAGUCGAUGGGAAAAUGGUUAAUAUUCCAUUACUUCUGUGUAAUGCGAUGAGAGGACGGAGAAGGCUAAAUCAGCCUGGCGUUGGUUGUCCAGGUGAAAGGAUGUAGGCAUGUAUCUUAGGCAAAUCCGGGGUACUCUAUGCUGAGAUCUGAUAGCAAGCUGUACUUGUACAGCGAAGUGGUUGAUGCCAUGCUUCCAGGAAAAGUCUCUAAGCUUCAGUUACACAGGAAUCGUACCCGAAACCGACACAGGUGGUCAGGUCGAGUAGACCAAGGCGCUUGAGAGAACUCUGCUGAAGGAACUAGGCAAAAUGGUACCGUAACUUCGGGAGAAGGUACGCUGUUGUUGGUGAUGGAACUCGCUUCCUGAGCUGACGACAGCCGCAGAAACCAGGCCGCUGCAACUGUUUAUUAAAAACAUAGCACUCUGCAAACACGAAAGUGGACGUAUAGGGUGUGAUGCCUGCCCGGUGCUGGAAGGUUAAUUGAUGGGGUUAGCGUAAGCGAAGCUCUUGAUCGAAGCCCCAGUAAACGGCGGCCGUAACUAUAACGGUCCUAAGGUAGCGAAAUUCCUUGUCGGGUAAGUUCCGACCUGCACGAAUGGCAUAAUGAUGGCGGCGCUGUCUCCAGCAGAGGCUCAGUGAAAUCGAAAUCGCUGUGAAGAUGCAGUGUACCCGCGGCUAGACGGAAAGACCCCGUGAACCUUUACUGCAGCUUGACACUGAACUUUGACCUUACUUGUGUAGGAUAGGUGGGAGGCUUUGAAGCUGGAACGCUAGUUCCAGUGGAGCCGUCCUUGAAAUACCACCCUGGUAAUGUUGAGGUUCUAACUCUGUCCCGUGAUCCGGGACGAGGACCGUGUCUGGUGGGUAGUUUGACUGGGGCGGUCUCCUCCUAAAGAGUAACGGAGGAGUACGAAGGUGCGCUCAGCGUGGUCGGAAAUCACGCGUAGAGUAUAAAGGCAAAAGCGCGCUUAACUGCGAGACCCACAAGUCGAGCAGGUACGAAAGUAGGUCUUAGUGAUCCGGUGGUUCUGUAUGGAAGGGCCAUCGCUCAACGGAUAAAAGGUACUCUGGGGAUAACAGGCUGAUACCGCCCAAGAGUUCAUAUCGACGGCGGUGUUUGGCACCUCGAUGUCGGCUCAUCUCAUCCUGGGGCUGAAGCAGGUCCCAAGGGUAUGGCUGUUCGCCAUUUAAAGAGGUACGCGAGCUGGGUUUAGAACGUCGUGAGACAGUUCGGUCCCUAUCUACCGUGGGCGCUGGAAAUUUGAGAGGAUCUGCUCCUAGUACGAGAGGACCAGAGUGGACGAACCUCUGGUGUACCGGUUGUGACGCCAGUCGCAUCGCCGGGUAGCUAUGUUCGGAAGGGAUAACCGCUGAAAGCAUCUAAGCGGGAAGCCUACCUCAAGAUAAGAUUUCCCUAGGACUUUAUGUCCUCUAAAGAGCCGUUCGAGACUAGGACGUUGAUAGGUUGGAUGUGGAAGCAUAGUGAUAUGUGAAGCUGACCAAUACUAAUUGCUCGUGAGGCUUGACU
rnacentral:rRNA from 1 species